UUGUAAUAAGAUUUUAAUUGAAUGCUAAAAGAAUGGAUUAACAGAUAAAUACUUUCUUUAAUUUAAAAAUUAAAUUUAUUAUUUUUUGUGCAGAAACAAAAAUAAAAAUUAAGGACAAGAAGACCCUAAGAAUUUUAAUUUGAUUUAAAUAAUUUAUAUUUCUUAAUCAAAUUUAAUUGGGGCGAUUGAAAAAUAUUUUUAACUUUUUUUUAAAAAAAAUAUGAACCAUUAAUAAUGGUAAUAUGAAAAAAUACUCUAGGGAUAACAGCGUAAUAAUUUUUGAUAGUUCAUAUAGACAAAAUAGUUUG
rnacentral:rRNA from 1 species